ensembl:snRNA U6 U6 spliceosomal RNA
AUGCUUCUUGUAAGUUCAGACAGCAGCACAUAUACUAAAACUGGAAUGAUACAGAGAAGAGUAGCAUGGCCCCUGCGCAAGGAUGACACGCAAAUUCAUGAAGCAUCCCAUCAAUCC